rnacentral:rRNA from 1 species
AUGAACGCUGGCGGCGUGGAUAAGGCAUGCAAGUCGGACGAUUUCCUUUUUUUGAAGAAGAUGCGAUUACAUCAAGUCAACUGAUAUUUUGGAGAUAGUGGCGAACGAGCUAGUAACACCUUGGUACGUACCCAAAAGUUUGGUAUAGCUCGCCGAAAGGCGGGGUAAUCCCAAAUAAUCCCUCUAUCUAUCGGAUAGAAGGGUAAAGUCGCAAGACGCUUUUGGAGCGGCCUAGGACCGAUCAGUUAGUUGGUGAGGUAAUGGCUCACCAAGACGAUGACCGGUAGG